AUUGAACGCUGGCGGCAGGCCUAACACAUGCAAGUCGAACGAGUGGCGGACGGGUGAGCAAUGUCUGGGAAACUGCCUGAUGGAGGGGGACAACUACUGGAAACGGUAGCUAAUACCGCAUACCAUCGGAUGUGCCCAGAUGGGAGUAGCUAGUAGGUGGGGUAAAGGCUCACCUAGGCGACGAUCCCUAGCUGGGCUGAGAGGAUGACCAGCCACACUGGAACUGGGACACGGUCCAGACUCCUACGGGAGGCAGCAGUGGGGAAUAUUGCACAAUGGGCGAAAGCCUGAUGCAGCCAUGCCGCGUGUAUGAAGAAGGCCUUCGGGUUGUAAAGUACUUUCAGCGGGGAGGCGUUACCCGCAGAAGAAGCACCGGCUAACUCCGUGCCAGCAGCCGCGGUAAUUC
rnacentral:rRNA from 1 species